UUUGUAAUUAGGAAAACAACAAAGAUUAAAACCAAGAGAAAAAAAACAAAUUUAUUUUAGGUGGCAGGCAGUCAGGCCUUGCCUGGCCAUAUCACUUAUCAGAUGUGUGGUUGUGCAACCUGACUACCAGGUUUCAACUCCUGAGAUAUUGCUGUCAAACUCAGGUACAAAAUCUUUCCCACAAGCCCAGCCUGAGGGCUCAUCCUUAUUCACUGCAGUUUCUCUUGAUUUCUUUUUGACCCUCUACUGCCACUGCUGAUCUCUGGCCAUCCUCUUCCUGUCUCCUUGUCCAGCUGGGCCAGAUAAACAGACUUCUGGCAUUUUCAUGCAUGAUUCAUAACUUUAUGUAAAUGCUCUGGCAAGCUGGAUGAAUGGACAUGAUCCAAUAAAGAUAUUGAGCCUGAGAAUAAAACGCAGUAAAAGAGUGUUGAGAGCACAGAACUCCUCUGAAGUGGAAGGAUCCUUCUCACAGGAUGAAACCAUGUCUCACAUACUCCAGUAUUCUCAAAAGCCUAAUAUAGAACUGAGCAUGUACCAGAGCCUCAAUAUAUCUUUAUUUUUGUAAAUUAAAAAUUUAUACCGAUAUAUAAUGCAUAAGUGUGCCUUUUUUUUUUUCUUUUGCCUUUUCUAGAGCUGCUCCGCGGCACAUGGAGGUUCCCAGGCUAGGGGUCUAAUUGGAGCUGUAACCGCCGGCCUAUGCCACAGCCACAGCAACGCAGUAUCCGAGCCACGUCUGCAACCUAC
rnacentral:lncRNA from 1 species